ensembl:lncRNA
CCUCUCCAUCCUUCUCUCUCUCUCUCUCUCUCUCUCUCUCUCUCUCUCUCUCUCUCUCUCUCUCUCUCUCUCUCUCUCUCUCUCUCUCUCUCUCUCUCUCUCUCUCUUCUGGUAUAGCAUGAUAAACCAUGAAAAGGCUUUUAAGAUCUCCCAUAGUUAGAUAAGCACAUUUAUUAUUUGAAAUGUACAUAAAAUACCUAUUGAUGGUCAAUCUUUAUAUAUUUUCAGACUUUUUAAGUCUUAAGGGCUCUAAUAUCAUAAUUUUUGUCAUAAUCCUGAUUUGCGACCUGAUUUAAAGCAGAUGUUAUGUUUUAUUCAUAAUAACCAAGAUGUCUAUGGGAUAAUGUUGCAUGUUGUAAAUGACUUUAAACUGAAUCUUGAUUUUUUGUGUUCUGUUGGGAAGCAAGCGGCCGCAGAACAUGUUCAGUUAUUAAAGAUACAUGCUCACCUGUUGAUGAUUUGUAAAGUCUGCUGCUUCUAUUGUUUUAGUCCUCGUGUUUAUUGUGUACAUGUAAGGGACUAUUUUUUAAUCAGAAAUUAUAAAUAAAACAAUAAAUGUUAUUCCGAUUUUAUUCUGGGACCUCCUCCCUGGGUUUUGGUUGGGGGGGGGGGGUGCCUCAGUGUCUCUGUGUCGGUUGUAGAAAGAAACCACAGACAGACGGCCGGACACUCUCUCUCUGUCUCUCUUUCUCUCUCCUCGUCUCCCUCUCCUCCCCGUCUCCCCCUUCCUCCCCCCGGUCUCACUCUCCUCCCUCUCACCCCUGUCUCCCUCUCCCCCCCGUCUCCCUCUCUCCCCCCCCCGUCUCCCUCUCUCCCUCCAGUUUUAGAUUACCAGGCGUAAAGAGAGAGAGACCCAACACCAACCCAACCCCACUGAAUGAACACAUAAUGAAAGGUUCCUUCAAGGAGGUGAUAGUCCGGGGGCCCUUUUCCUGAGGCCUGCUGGGGCUCAUUCGGGGCCCGUGAUUGGCUUCUCCAACCAACAGGGAAGAGUUUUCCUGUGGUUCUGCUGUGUUCUGGAGGUCUCCUGGGAGCUGGUUCACAUGUCCUACUUAAAACACCCCAGCUAAGAGCUUACCAAGAAUACUAAAAGGAAUAAAAACAUAAAAACAUUAAACAACUCGG